GACGAACGCUGGCGGCGUGCUUAACACAUGCAAGUCGAACGGAAAGGCCCUGCUUUUGUGGGGUGCUCGAGUGGCGAACGGGUGAGUAACACGUGAGUAACCUGCCCUUAACUUUGGGAUAACUUCAGGAAACUGGGGCUAAUACCGGAUAGGAGCUCCUGCUGCAUGGUGGGGGUUGGAAAGUUUCGGCGGUUGGGGAUGGACUCGCGGCUUAUCAGCUUGUUGGUGGGGUAGUGGCUUACCAAGGCUUUGACGGGUAGCCGGCCUGAGAGGGUGACCGGCCACAUUGGGACUGAGAGACGGCCCAGACUCCUACGGGAGGCAGCAGUGGGGAAUAUUGCACAAUGGGCGGAAGCCUGAUGCAGCAACGCCGCGUGCGGGAUGACGGCCUUCGGGUUGUAAACCGCUUUCGCCUGUGACGAAGCGUGAGUGACGGUAAUGGGUAAAGAAGCACCGGCUAACUACGUG
rnacentral:rRNA from 1 species